rnacentral:tRNA from 1 species
GUGCAGAAGCUAACUUGGUAGAAGCGGCAGACUGAAAAUCUGUAGGAGUUGGUUCGAAACCAAUCUGUACA